UUGUUGUUCACGUUUUCAGUUGUUGUAUUUUUUGUAUAAGUAAAGUAAAGUUCUUAAAAUAAAGCUCAGGUGAAGGAAAUAUCGUAUUAUUUCUUCCGAACUUCUCCGGCCGGCUAAUAACGGGUAGACUUUAGCAACGGUGGAACAAUAAUAAAUAUUCUGACACAAAAUUGACAUAAAUCUUGUUCCGUCAAUUUUAAAAUCUAAUUUAAUAUUUUCUUACAUAUUUGUUAAUUUUUUUCGUUUAAACUUGUUAAUGUAUUAUUUGUUAUUGUUAAUUUAAAGAUUAGAAUGUUAAAGACUUAUAAAACCGAUUUUCUUUAAGGAGAAAAAACGGUGUUUAGUCUAUGUCCCGAGUUUCCAGAGUUUCUACAUUAUAUACAUAU
rnacentral:lncRNA from 1 species